rnacentral:rRNA from 1 species
AUUGAACGCUGGCGGCAUGCCUUACACAUGCAAGUCGAACGAACUCUUCGGAGUUAGUGGCGGACGGGUGAGUAACACGUGGGAACGUGCCUUUAGGUUCGGAAUAACUCAGGGAAACUUGUGCUAAUACCGAAUGUGCCCUUCGGGGGAAAGAUUUAUCGCCUUUAGAGCGGCCCGCGUCUGAUUAGCUAGUUGGUGAGGUAAAGGCUCACCAAGGCGACGAUCAGUAGCUGGUCUGAGAGGAUGAUCAGCCACAUUGGGACUGAGACACGGCCCAAACUCCUACGGGAGGCAGCAGUGGGGAAUCUUGCGCAAUGGGCGAAAGCCUGACGCAGCCAUGCCGCGUGAAUGAUGAAGGUCUUAGGAUUGUAAAAUUCUUUCACCGGGGACGAUAGUGACGGUACCCGGAGAAGAAGCCCCGGCUAACUUCGUGCCAGCCGCCGCGGUAA